rnacentral:lncRNA from 1 species
ACACACACACACACACACACGCACACACACACACACACACACACACCACUUCCAAAUUAAGGAAAGUCUGAUUUUUUUUUUCAUUUUAAUUGAGACAAAUGUAAACUGCUUUGCUUAACCUGUUGAGUUAAGCAUCUAUUUCAAGCACUUCAUUUUUCAUAUCUGUAAGCACAGUACAAGGUUGUCCCAGCCCAGGGAACAGGUUGCACAGGGUGAGUCAAUAGUAGUUACUGUGGGAAAGGAAGGCUUCUCUGUCUGAAAGGUAGUUUAAGCUGAAAGGGUAGGGAGAAACAAUUGACUUUCAACAACAAAACCUCCCAAACUGAGCUAGUUCCUGCUUUGUUUUGUUCUUUUCUAGAUAUUUAAAGAUACUUCUCUGUAUUUCUCUGAACAAGUACAGUCGGCUUCUGGAUCCAUGUAUUCUGUAUCUGUGAUUUCAACCACCAUCAAGAAUGCCAACCACUUUUGUCUCUGUACCUAGCGUGGGCAGGCAUUUCUCCUUGUGAUUAUUUCUCUAAAUAUAAGAGUGUAACGACAGAGACUGACAUAGAAUGUACAAUGCAUUAAGCAGUGUAAGCUGUCCUGUGGUGGUGGAAUGUAUAGAGAAGAAUGUGCAUAGUGUCUAUGCACAUAAUGCCCCACUUUAUUCAAAGGAUCUGUGCAUCUGAGAGUUCUGUUUUCCUGAGGGAUCCUGGAAUCAGCACCCCCCCCGCCCCCCCGCAAAUUUGGAGAAGUGACUACAAUGUUUUCAUUUCUUAUGACGGACUUAGAUCCUGAUGUCUCCUGGCUGCCCUGCCCACUGAAGUACCAUGUCAGUACAUUUACAUAACCAAGCCAGUGUUCAUUUCUUAAAUAUGCAUUUCUUAGAUCAGGUGCUCACAACAUGGCUAUUACAGUCCCCUCUAUACAUCUUAAAAUUAUGAUAUUGUCCCUAGCUUCCAUUCACAAAAGAUAGUUCCCAUUUACCAUUAAUCAUUGAUCAUUUUUGAAUACAUAGGACUUUAUAUAGUGGACUCUCAAAUCACACUAGGGAAAAAAAUGUUUGACCCUAAGCUGUAGCUUUAUGAACAUUGUGAGAAUCAAUGUGGAAGCUUAAGAUGUCAGGCAUGUGCUGAAGUAAGGGUGACAUGGGUCCACCUUCUGAUUUUCUCCUCAAACAGGCUGAGUUCUUAAUGUGUGAAUGAGUCUGCUUCCUGGCACAGCGAGGCGAGUGCUUCUGGUAGGGUUGUGCUUGCACCUACUGAACAAUCUCCCAGGACAGCUGGCUGGAUAGGCAAUCAUAAAUGUCCUUGUCAGUUGUAGUGAGAGUGCCCACAACUUGCCUACAUCAUUUUCUUAAACAUCAAGUUAUGCCCCGGUUCACAGGAAUCUUCUGGAAAGAUUCUCAAGACAUAUUUUAGAAGUCUUCCCAUUGUAGAAUUGGUAUUGUCAGGGACAAGUAAUAACAGCUUUGAAAUAAUUAGUAUUUGCUGAAAUGUCUUUUUAUCAAUAAUUGUCCAGGCUUUUAACAGGAAGGAUUCUUAUCAAUUUUGUGUGAAGGCCCCCAACACACAGAACCCCACACUGAGAAGACCUAACUGCCCAACCCUCUGUCUAACCUUGGCAGUCACAGGUAACCAUCAGUGAACUGGACACAUCAUUGUGUCCUUGCAUUUUCAGGGUUAUCUGGGAAAAUAAAAAUAAAG